CUAUUUCAACAUAUUGCAGCCAACCCGCCACAGCUGCUUCCGUCUCCACCAUCUUACUAACCUGAGAAGAUUGAAAAGAUUUGUGGGCUGAGUACUAGUGUACCCAGUGGGUCAUGCAUUUUUGAAAUAAUCAUUUUCAUAUGAUAGUCCAUGCACAUACGUGAAUUAUAGAAGGUUUUAAAAUAAAACAUUUAACUUCUAUAAUCACAACACAUUUUCAUUCAUUGCGCGCGCCAUACCGUAGCACCACUGUUACCCUUAUCAUUUCAUUCGUAGUCCCUCGGCGACCCCUGGGAAGUAAUCAUUCAUUCAUUCAUCAUUAACUAGAUGGGACCCCGGGACGAACCCAUGUCAGCUACACCAUCUAGCCGGAUUAAGGGCGAACCCAAAAUCCUCCUUUUGUCUAUAAGGCUCGUGGGGAUCAAUCCACUACCUUAAGACCGUGCGCACAACUUUUAAUAGGUGUGUGAGACCCAUUAAAAGCCACAAUUGUUAACAUAAGAGCAUUAAACAGUGGGAGAACGUGAAAACAUUUCAUGGACAUACCACAUUUCAAAUAAUGACAUUAGAG
rnacentral:lncRNA from 1 species